UUUAUUAUAUAAGUGUAUUAAUAUUGUUAUUAUAUUAUAUUAUAAGAUUUUUAUUUAAUAAAUAUAUUAAAUUAUGACAAGUGUGUGGAUAUAAAUGGAUACAAAUGUAAAAUAAAUAUAUGAUGUUAAUUAGAUAUUUAUAUAUAUAAAGUAAACAAAAGAAAUGAAAAGGAUAGAAAAGAAACAGAAUGAAACGAAACAGAGAGCAAGGGAGAAAAAGAAAGAAAGGAAGAAAAGGGAAAAUUGGGGGUUUGAUGCUUGAAGCUUAAAUAGCUAACGGGGUGCCGGAACAUCCUCAGUUAAGAAAGGAAAAGAUGAAGUCAACGAGGGUUAGCUCGGAAAUCACAGUUUGUAUUUAUAUAAUCCGAACCUAGUUAUUAAUUAUUAUAUUUUAUUCAAUGCCUUUAGUGAAUGUUGAAGUGAGAAUUAUUGUGUUUGAUAAUGGAAGAGAGUUGAUUUGGUAUGUUAUGAAUUUAUUGAAUUAAUAUUGAAUUGAAUUAUAUAUAUAUUAUAAAUA